CUGCCCAGGUGGGAGCCUCUGCCUGGAGCAGAGACCUUGGCGCAGGGGAGCGGCUCCCUUUGGCAGAAGCUGCACAACUGCGGGGCGGCCAGUCUGAGAACCCUCGGGACCCGGUCCUGCCGGGCUAAUGAACAGCGCCCCUGAUGCGCAGCUCAGGGAGACCAGGAAGCUCGGAUAUGUUUGGGGAAGAUGAAGAAAGAACAUUCCCGAGAUAAAGCCUGUUUAUCGUGUUACAGAGGACACGGUGUUGUAAUAAGGCCACUGUGGAGCUACCACAAAAGUUCAGGCCCAGAGGUGAUCUUUUUUCGAAAGGCCGAGCCCUGAGCCAUCGGCAACAGAGCACCCAUCGCCCCAACAGGGGCACAUUCGCACUUAAAAGCAAGCAGGAGGUAGAGAAGCAGGAGACGUCCCAGAGCUCACCUGGUCAUCUGGGGCGCACAGUUCUCCAGAAAUGGAAGUUGGGGCCAUCCCCACAUAUGCACGGUCCAUGACAGAAACUUGUUAAGAGGUGCUGGGAUCUGGACCUUGACCUGGCACUAUUACCUGAGCGUUCUGAAAGGAUAACUCACAAAACUAGAGCCGUAGAUAUCAUCUACAAGGCUUUCCAUGAAAACCAGCAUCAGGAACAUCAUCAGCACACUCCACCUCUAGACCAGACAGAGAGAGAUUGGAGAAAGAUGAAAAUUUCAAUAGAAAGCAGUCUAAUAAAUCCAGAACAGAUGAAAAUUAUAAGGAAAAGACAGCCAAGAUCACCAAUUUUCUGGAGCACAAGGACCACAGGGAAAGCUUUGGGUAUGGGGACCAGGCAGGAGUCGUGCAUAUCGCUGGAGCGCCAGGCAAGAAACCCCAGCUCCAGACAUGCAAAUGACCCUUACUUUCCUUUUACUUUGUGAAAUGAAAGUGUUUAUUAUUGUAAAAUAAUCUCCUUUGAACUCACUGAGUAUUUCUACUGGGAGAAAAAGAUGAAGAGAAUAGGUCGGGGGCUACCAGCAAACACUUCCAUUUUAAGGACAUUUCAGUGACUCAUCCAGGGCUGCUACCGUCUAAGGCCAAAUGUGGCAUUUACUCUAUGAAGCUAAUGCAUGUCCUGAAUGUUUGCUUGGGGCAUUAUUUCAUUUCCCUGGAAGUUCCUUUAAGAUUCAGAAUAUAGAAUAUUAUUCAUUGUAUGCAAAAAUAUAAUGGGUCUUUAUAAUGUAGUAAAUAAAAAUGAUAUUUUAGGAUAUCAUCACUGUGAAUGUUACUAUGAGAUU